AUGUACCACUCGUACACUCCGGUUCCUGCGCGCGGUCGAUGCCCCCUGACGACCGCUCGCUACAUGUUGUUAGCC
rnacentral:sRNA from 1 species